AUUGAACGCUGGCGGCAGGCUUAACACAUGCAAGUCGAACGAGUGGCGGACGGGUGAGUAAUGUCUGGGAAUCUGGCUGAUGGAGGGGGAUAACUACUGGAAACUGUAGCUAAUACCGCGUACCAUAGGAUGAGCCCAAGUGGGAUUAGUUAGUAGGUGGGGUAAUGGCUCACCAAGGCGACGAUCCCUAGCUGGGCUGAGAGGAUGACCAGCCACACUGGGACUGAGACACGGCCCAGACUCCUACGGGAGGCAGCAGUGGGGAAUAUUGCACAAUGGGCGCAAGCCUGAUGCAGCCAUGCCGCGUGUGUGAAGAAGGCCUUCGGGUUGUAAAGCACUUUCGGCAGGGAGGCGUUACCCACAGAAGAAGCACCGACUAACUCCGUGCCAGCAGCCGCGGUAAUUC
rnacentral:rRNA from 1 species